UACGUAGGGGGCAAGCGUUGUCCGGAAUCAUUGGGCGUAAAGCGCGUGUAGGCGGUUCGGUAAGUCUGCUGUGAAAGUCCAGGGCUCAACCCUGGGAUGCCGGUGGAUACUGUCGGACUAGAGUACGGAAGAGGCGAGUGGAAUUCCCGGUGUAGCGGUGAAAUGCGCAGAUAUCGGGAGGAACACCAAUUGCGAAGGCAGCUCGCUGGGACGUCACUGACGCUGAGGCACGAAAGCGUGGGGAGCAAACAGG
rnacentral:rRNA from 1 species